UAUAUAUAUAUAUCGGCGCAAGCAGCUUCAACGACGGAUGCAACAUGAAAAUAACUGGCGUCAAUUAUUAUAACACCUUAUUGGUCGUCGUUACUAUUGUUAAAAGUAAAACGAAAUCAAAGAGAAUAGAACUAUGUUUGAAUUCUGGUUUAAAUAUGACGUCUGGACGCACGACAGGGGACUGCAGAGUUCAGCGAGUGCGGAGCAUAAAGAACCUUCGAGAAAUACAAGAACAUUUAGAAGAAUUGAAGUUUCAUUUUAAAAUAUCUGGAACUUACUGAAACAAGUGACAUUAGAGACGUCAGCGAGGCUGGCGUCCUGUCUUUAAAACAAUGAAUUUAUAAUAAAAUCCGAUAUCAGAAGUGGGAUCGCUCCUGUGAUCAGUUACUGCCGGUCUUAGUGUAUUUGUAAAUCCUGAUCCAGCUCAAGAAAAUAAUCAUCCGGAGAACAUGCGUAAUGAAGAACGCUCCUCAGUCUUUCAUGCAAAUGAUGUCAACAAUGCAGAGCGUGACCGAACGUUUGCUACUAAAAAAAAAACAAGGGAUACGAUUAAAAUUACUAACAAGAUCAUUUUAAUUUUAUCAUCUUUUGAUCCCGGUGAUAGAGUGUGUGUUCGGGAUUGAUUCAAACGCAUCUUUACGGCUGUAAAUACGUACCAAAUCAGUAACUACGACAUUAGAAUUAAAGUCUUUUAAAGGAGCGAGCUAGAAAGUGUGCAGACGAUUGGUUAGUUGCAACAUCUACACAAAAGGCAUUACGUGAGACCAUAGCUAACAUUUGUUAUUAUCCUUUGAGCUAACCUCGUGUCCAUGAUGUAUUCUGAAGAGAACCAUGAGAUUCUGUAGGGAAGGCUUGUGGUACCGUGACAAGACAAUUAUACACCACAGAUCUGGAGAGCGUGACCUCUGAGCUAAUCGCGUGUUACCCUUGAGCUAACCACGGGUCCUUGAUGUAUCCAUAAGAGAACCAUGAGAUUCCGUAGGGAUGCCUUGUGGAACCGUGAGAAGACAAGUCUACACCACAGAUGUGGAGAGCGUACCUCUGAACUAAUCGCGUGUUACUCUUGAGCCAACCACAGGUCCUUGCUGUAUCCUUAAGAAUACCAUGAGAUGACGUAGGGAGGCCUUGGGAAGACUUGAGUAGAAAGGUACUCACUCGAUUUAUAAGAACUUGCAUGAUUUUAAUAUCAAACUACUAAGACCAUUACUUUAUUUAAAUACGAUAAUAGACAUACUCUUCACAGUAAUAUUUGCAACAUGUCUGGUUAACACACGCCAGUGCCUCUACAAAAACGAUGCUGUAAUUCAAACGAAAGCAUACUCGACUCCAAAAUCCUGAUCAAAUACAUCUAUUGCGAAUAUAACUAAUUUCUGUUCCUUUUCUGCUAACCGUGAUCAUGCGUUUGAAUCGUGUUUCCGACGGGAAUAAGGAGAUCACGCCGAAUUUUAAUUUAAUACCAACUGGUAAAUGUACUCUUAAAUAAAAUGCAAGAUCGCAGUGGUGCGUUAUACAAGAAUCAAUUGCAAAUGAUAUCUCUGGGUGUAGAAAACAAAUCAUAAACUAUUUGCGUGGAUUGAGAUCGGACCUUACUAUUUCAAUGAAUAGUUAAAUAGUUAUUAAUGUAGAAAUAAUUUUCUAUAGUUCCAGGUUUUGAAACGACUACUGAUAUAUUAACCGGAGCAGAUUUAUUACGUGAUAAAAAUACAUGUGGAAAAUUUAGUAUCCUUGCCGAUGUUUUGCACAUACGAACAAGUCAAUUAUGCUUUGACAGUUUAGAUUACAAUUCAACAAUCAGUCCGUUUAAAUCGAAGUAAUGCACCAACACAUUCAAAACAGGAUGGUCGAGGCGGAGAGAAGAUACAAAGCUAGGUUUUUGAGAGGUCGAGCUACGAUUAAAAGAUUCCAGAAGGGAGAUAUUGUAAUAAUAAAAAUAUAACCCCAGAAAUCGGAUAUCCCUAUAUUUAAAAUUUUGUGAACUAUACAAAAUCCAGAAAAUAAUUGAGAAUGAUUAAUAUCUUGUAAAGUGAUUUUAGACCGUGGAUGACCAGCUACGAAUGUGGCACAUGACCAGCUACGAUGAGACUUCACAGCAUCUGAGGGACGACACAGAAUUACUAAGCAAGCAGUUAGGUGGACGGUUCGCCUACCUAAUAGUUAUCCGAAAACAAUGCAGAGCACGCAUCAGUAUAACCGUAUCGGCAUGACUUCGGACGAUGAAGCAUCAAUUCUUGAACCUGGCCCAUCUACUCUACGAGACCUGCAACGGAUACGAGAAAAUAACGAAAGCUAAGCAAGAGAGAACACAUCACCAGGCAGGUGCAGAGCACGCACCGCCUGCCAGAAUGGCCGUAUCGGCGCAAGCAGCUUCAACGACGGAUGCAACAUGAAAAUAACUGGCAUCAAUUAUUAUAACACCUUAUUGGUCGUCGUUACUAUUGUUAAAAGUAAAACGAAAUCAAAGAGAAUAGAACUAUGUUUGAAUUCUGGUUUAAAUAUGACGUCUGGACGCACAACAGGGGACUGCAGAGUUCAGCGAGUGCGGAGCAUAAAGAACCUUCGAGAAAUACAAGAACAUUUAGAAGAAUUGAAGUUUCAUUUUAAAAUAUCUGGAACUUACUGAAACAAGUGACAUUAGAGACGUCAGCGAGGCUGGCGUCCUGUCUUUAAAACAAUGAAUUUGUAAUAAAAUCCGAUAUAUAUAUU